GGGUUUACAUUUGAAUUUUUGAGUUCUUUUUUUUUUUAUUUACAAAAAAAGUUAAAAAUAUAGAUUAAAUUGUAGCAAUGGUCUAUAAAUUAUACCAACUUGCAUUUUCAUCCUCGAAUUCUACUUAUAGUUGUUGUUGUUCUCAAAUUAUGUUACAUGUUGCAUUAAUGUUCUUUUCCGUUAAUUUCAUCAAAAUUUUUGUAAGUUCAUGAGUAAACUACGAAAUUAUUUUUAGCCGAGGUAGUAGAUUUUGAGGUUGACUCAAGCUACAUUGAAUCAUAUAUUUCCACUCAUUUCUAGUCACCUUCAUUAUCGUAUAAUUUUCAUUUAUUUCUUGUUUUUGAACUUUUCUUCGGGGUUUUUCUCGAGUCUCAAGGAAAAAUUAAUAGGUGUCAGGCAUGCUCAGAGCUUCUCUCGGAUUUCAAGGAAAAAUUUAAGGAUUGGUUUUGACAUUCACGUAGUGGUAUAAUAAGUCCUUUACGAAAGACGCUAAAACAAAUACAAUACCUCCUAUCUCUUGGUAGCAAUUGACUACUUUAUUAAAUGGAUAAAAGCUGAAGCGUUCACACACAUAUGAGAAGACAAAGUAAUAAGUUUU
rnacentral:lncRNA from 1 species